UACCUCCGGUUCCAAUGCACUCUACGCGUAAAUCUUUCGCCUUUUACUAAAGAUUUCCGUGCAUUGGAGCGAUAACGAGAUUAGAUUUUUUAAUUUUUGGAAGACCGUAUGGGUCU
rnacentral:snRNA from 1 species